AACGAACGCUGGCGGCAUGCCUAACACAUGCAAGUCGAACGAGACCUUCGGGUCUAGUGGCGCACGGGUGCGUAACGCGUGGGAACCUGCCUUUAGGUUCGGAAUAACUCAGAGAAAUUUGAGCUAAUACCGGAUGAUGUCUUCGGACCAAAGAUUUAUCGCCUUUAGAUGGGCCCGCGUUGGAUUAGCUAGUUGGUGGGGUAAAGGCCUACCAAGGCGACGAUCCAUAGCUGGUCUGAGAGGAUGAUCAGCCACACUGGGACUGAGACACGGCCCAGACUCCUACGGGAGGCAGCAGUGGGGAAUAUUGGACAAUGGGCGAAAGCCUGAUCCAGCAAUGCCGCGGGAGUGAUGAAGGCCUUAGGGUUGUAAAGCUCUUUUACCCGAGAUGAUAAUGACAGUAUCGGGAGAAUAAGCUCCGGCUAACUCCGU
rnacentral:rRNA from 1 species